GAUGAACGCCGGCGGCGUGCCUAAUACAUGCAAGUCGAGCGAACGGACGAGAAGCUUGCUUCUCUGAUGUUAGCGGCGGACGGGUGAGUAACACGUGGAUAGCCUACCUAUAAGACUGGGAUAACUUCGGGAAACCGGAGCUAAUACCGGAUAAUAUUUUGAACCGCAUGGUUCAAAAGUGAAAGACGGUCUUGCUGUCACUUAUAGAUGGAUCCGCGCUGCAUUAGCUAGUUGGUAAGGUAACGGCUUACCAAGGCAACGAUGCAUAGCCGACCUGAGAGGGUGAUCGGCCACACUGGAACUGAGACACGGUCCAGACUCCUACGGGAGGCAGCAGUAGGGAAUCUUCCGCAAUGGGCGAAAGCCUGACGGAGCAACGCCGCGUGAGUGAUGAAGGUCUUCGGAUCGUAAAACUCUGUUAUUAGGGAAGAACAUAUGUGUAAGUAACUGUGCACAUCUUGACGGUACCUAAUCAGAAAGCCACGGCUAACUACGUG
rnacentral:rRNA from 1 species